CAGAAGAACGGGCGGGGCGAAAGUUAGGUGGUUUGAGAGUUGUUAAUUCAUACUGGAUUAACGAGGUAAUUCUCUAUUGAGCGUAGAAGAUAUUAAAUCCUUGCAUAUCGUUUUUUGACUGUGCCUGAAAUUAUAAUAGGAUUCUACCUACAAAUACUAUGAGGUGAUUUUGGUUGAUGUUGCCCAUAAUGCGGUUCGCAAUGACCCGAGAAUCAACUGGAUCUGCAAUCCAGUCCACAAACACAGGGAGCUCAGAGGACUCACAUCAGCUGGUAAGAAGUACAGGGGUCUUCGAGGAAAAGGGCACUUGCACCACAAAGCCAGGCCUUCCCGCCGAGCAACCUGGAAGAGGAACAACACUCUCUCCCUGCGUCGAUAUCGAUGAUUUUGGUAUUACUUUUCUCUGUUUUGGUAUUUUUGCUAUGAGCAUUCUGUUCGUGGUUGGAGAAUGUAGUGGAAGUUACUUCCAUCCAAAAAGUUUUGAACUUCGUAAUUUACAUAGAGAAUUGUGAGGAUGUUUACAAACUAAACUAAUUAGCAACUUUUGUCUGGAUUGAAAUCAAUUUGUCCUUUUUUCUCUCGAUACAACGAUAGGUUUGUUUAUGCGUUUAGGAAAACUUAUGGAGUUAUAUCUAGGACAUUUUCAUUUAGGAAGUACUUGGGUUACGGUGGUCUUCAGCUAGUCCAAAAAUGUAUCAAAAGUAGUUUUGUAAUUAUUUUCAAAAUUAACCGAUAUUUUACCUAUUUUUAAAAAUGUCUGGUUAAAAAAAAUCAAGCAAUAACUGAAAAUGAAAUUGGCUUUAAUAAUUUAAAUAAACAAAAACAAAGCUUUUAAGAAUUUUAUUUGUUUUUGGAAAUGUGAAAAGUUACCAAAAUCUUGUUAAAAAAAAUAAAUUGGUUAAGAAUUUAAGUUUUGUUUUAAUUUGAGUUUUUUAAAAAUAAAUGUACAAAAAUUGUAGCUUGAAUGAAGUUGGGGCUAUUAAAAAUAUAAUAAAGUGACAAAAUAUUUACAUUGUAGAAUAGUUUUGAAAACGAAUAUUUACAAAAUAUUUACAUUGUAGAAUAGUUUUGAAAACGAAUAUUUACAAAAUAUUUACAUUGUACAAAAAGCUCAUCUAAACGAGUCUCCUACGCAACUCAAAGUGUAGACAAAGAUACAACUUAUACAUGAUCUUGUUGAUUACCAUAGAUAUAAACACUAAAUGAUGGCGAAAAAAUUAGAUUUAAAUAAUCGCAUAGAGAGUACAUUUAACGAUCGUUGCAUAUAACGAUCGUUGCAUAGAUACGUAUAAUCGUGUAUGUAAGUAUAAACGAUCAUUUACACAAGCAAAACUCGCUCAUUAUUACAAACAUAAGAAUUACAAAAAUAACAUCGAAAUCAAAGCACUACAAAAAGGAGAAGACAUUUGUUCAGACUUUUCCUCUUCUUUAUGCCCUUCGUGUUCUUUACAUCAUUUUUGUCGUACAUCUUCUUUAUCAAUCAUUUAUUUCCUCGUGCCUUCUUCAACAAAACUUUUGAAAUUCUUCUUAGUCUUGUUCUUUACCUUCCAUUCUCAUCAAUCUUCGAAAAUAUUUUUUCGGCAUUCUGGUCGUUGCUCAAUAUUUUGGUUCCACAACCAAAUCUAUGUCCAUUUAUCUCAAUCUAUUUCCAUCAUCUAUCACAAUCUAUCUCCCAUACAAAGAGGUUUGAAUGUAUAUUCGUUAUAUUUAAUUGAAUAAUCAUUCUUGUUCAAUGUAUAACACCUCGGCGCAAAGAGCGACACCUUGUUGGAAAGAAAAAAAAUGUGAGAAAACCAGAGUUGGUUUAUUUUAUGCAAAGCAAAGUGUAAUUUGUACUUUUAUAAGCAUUAAGUUAAUAAACAGAAGGAGUUUAAGCUAUUCGCUGUAAAGGUGGUGAAAGUCUCUAAGGCUCAAAUGGAAGAGCUUCACGAAGAGACGAGAGAAAUAGUUGUUCUGCUUACUGUGUGUUUAAUGUGUUAUCUCGCGAAAAGGUAUGCGUUGAAUGUCUAGGUGACACGUCCUCCAUUUGGUCUCAUGGCAUGAAAUUUGGGACGGGUCAUGACAACUCACUAAAUUUACUUCAAACCAUAUCGAAAGUUUAUCAAAAUUGCCUUGACAACACAUUAACGACUUUGUAAAUUCUAAUCUAGUACCUAAAACCAUUUUCUGUUUCGAGCUUAUGGAGGUAACACCCAAGCAAACUGCAAAGUUAAUGAAAGUCCAUUUUGACCUUUCAACUUUAUGACCUGAGUAUCAUAUGUAAUUUCAUUUUAAUGCUUACACUUAAUAGGCAUUCAAGAACUCUAAAAAAACUCAACAAAAUUACUUCAAAACUUACCAAGUGCUUGGCAAAGUAACCUUAACUUCAAUAAACAAUCUUUUGAUGGUCUUCAACUAUCGAAUCCUAGCAUCUAAAAACUAUGAGUUGUUUAAUAAUAACAACGAAACUCAAUGGGCACGGAAGAACUACUCGAAAAAGCUUAGAAUCUUACCCAAUAUAUGCCAAAACGCCCAACUUCGAGCCAUCAACGGGCUGGACAAAGGUUCAAAUCUUCCAAGAAUCCAAAACUAACAUCAAAAUGUAAUGCUUAUUGAUUUUUCUCCAAACACAUAAUUGAUAUUCAAAACUUUUCAUUGAAAGCCCAAAAACUCACCAAGAUUUUGACAAAUCAAACUCCAAACAUUGGACAGCGCUUCAACAACUCUAGAAUUGGCCAAAACAUGCGUCUGAUGAGUACCAACACUCACAGGGGUGGAUCCAUAGUGACAACGAAGCGGAAUCAUGCUGAUUAUAGACUAGGUACGCAUGGAACAACCAAAUCUUGUUAAACAAGGCUCAAAAUAUAUUUACCCCUCAAUUCCAACACAAAAGAAAGUGGACAACUCAAGUCGAACUUGUUUAGGGUGUUGGUCAUUAUAGCUUGACAAACAUCAAUAGAAUUGAAAGCAAACCAAAGGAAAAUUAGCUACUUACCCACAUGUGACAUCAAAUGAACAGUGGCUGAUUGAAAGGCGAUGAGCAGACACAAUGGAUACAAUAGUAGAGCUCACGAAAAACAUUACCAAACGGUCUCUAAGUUUCCACAUGCAACACCUCCGCUUCUUAAAAAAAUGGAAACAAAAACAGAAAACAUGGAACGAAAACAUUACAAAAUGCGCUCUAAGCUUCCAUGUGCACCACUAUGAGUAAAAACAGGCAUAAUAACAAGAGUUUAGGUGACUAAGUUAUUUUGGAACUAGUAUAAAUAGAGAUCUUCAGCCAAAUUAUGGAGUAUUGUUACUCUGACAAUCAAAAUAGAAAAUUAAAGUGUUGGAGUGUUACCAAAAUAGCUACGCCCGAAGAAGAAGAAGAGGAGGAGAAGCAACUAAAAUUUGAGUCACCAAAUGUUGUGAGUGUUUUUCUUGAAAGUGAUUUGAUGUUAAAAGCUUUCUUAUAAAGUUUCUAUUGAUUUUAAAUGAUGAAUUCAAUAUGAAUAUUUCUAAAGAGAUUCUUAUGAAAAGCAUAUAUUAUGUUCUUAAUGUAUAUUUGUGUAAAUUAAAUGAUUACGAAAUAGUGUUCAAACCACUUGUUUCUUCCCAUAAAUGAGUUGACUAUUAUGUGCACAUAAAAAGUAAAGACAACCACGUAGAAAAUGAUUGCAUGGUAUAGUGAAGUUGACCAAUGUAGAAAAGUAUUGCAUUGUGUUUAGUGGCUUGAGCAACAGAAUGAAUCAGGAUAUUCCUAGAUGUUGUUGAUGAAAAUGACAUCUCACUAGUCUAAACACGAGAUGACGAGUCUUCGUGUUGGGAAUGAUUCAUGUUCUUGGCGAAAAGAUUGUGUGAGACUAAUGUGUUUUAUGAUGUUUAUGUGAAAUGUGUGUGUGUUACGUGAAUUGACAUGUGUGUGAUUUGAUUUGUUUUCUAAAUUGAUGUUUAUGAAUGAUAUUUCAUAGAAAAGUUCUCUUAAAACCUUACGAGUCUUUUCACUUAUAUUUUAAAGUUUUAACCUCACAAGUCUUUUCACUUAUGUUUUAAAGUUUUCAUUUACAGGCUUUAGGCGUUAAGUCCAAAUAAGAAAAGGGUAAAAAGCUGCUAGGUGAGAUGAGCUGCAGAUGUUUUAUUAUUAAGUUUAAGAGUUGUAUUAUGUAAUAUGUAUUAAGCUGUGUAGAACGCCUUAUUUUUUGUUAAGUUGUUUAUCGCCUAAAGUACGAGUUGUAGUUUGAGAAAGAAGUGUAGGUGAUUAAGCAAAGCUUAAGUACCUUAACCCAAGUGUUUUGACAUCAAAUGUAUCAAAAUACUCAAAAUCAUAUCGCUUCUCCCAUAGUGAAUCAAGUUGCAUGCAUGGCACGAUGUGACAUUUCUCCUUUUCAUAUUAUUAAUUUCUUCGUAUAAUUAAUUUAGUUUUUUCAUACUCUCACUUCCUAUUAUAUGCGAUUUAUUCUUUCUUACAUUUUUUUUCAUCUAAGCUAAUAUAAAAAUUAGCAUUACCUUAAACGGUGUUUGGAGAAAAAAAACUUACAAUGAAGUAAAUAAUUCUCAUAUAGUUCAUCUGAUUUCGUUAAUGGAGGAAGGAAAAAGAAAAUUUUGAUCUAUAGUAAGUCUAAUAUUUAUCUAAGAUUAAAAAAAUCAUCCAAAAUCCGACGAACUAUGCAAUAAAAUGUAAAUAUUAGCAUUACCCUUGGGUUGAUUCAAGAAGAAAAGAAAUGUUAGAAAAGGAAAGGUCAAAUCAAAUGAACUUUCACAAAAAUGUAAUUUUGGGAUAUAAACUUCCCUUGGUUUUCUCCUUACGAAUUAGUGACAGCCAAAUGACUUUCCUUUAUACAUGAAAGUGUAAAAGUAAUUAUAUUAUUGGUAAAAAUAUAAUUAUUAUGAAAAUAUGUUUAUUUAUUUUUAUAUAUAAUAAUAAUUAUUGUAUUAUUAUAAUUAACAAUGGCCCUCUUUCUGCAUAUGAUAAUCAAUCUCACCUUCUUCCUCCACGUUUAACCUAGCCGCACAGGAACCUCGUCACCGCCAUCAGUCGAGUCCGCUGCUCACCGUCCAUCGAUCUCCGGUCGCAGCCGUUCCGUCCACGCUCAUCGUAGUAGACAAAGCGUCUCCAUUCCAAUGGGUAUGUUCCUGAGCUUUAGAUUGUUUAGGGAGGAGGUUAGAUUAGAUUGUAAAUGUUUUUGUUUGAUGUAAUCAAAAUAGUUUAUUUUCUCAUUGUGAUUUUUUUAGAUUCUUUGUGGUAUUUGGAAUAAUGGGGUCUUUUCUUUUAACACUUUGAACGGGUAUAGGUGUUUUUUUUUUUUUUUUUUUUUUGUAUUUUGAUACUUCCUACGUUUAGAUUGAUUAUAGAAUAGAUUGGAUUAGAUUAUUAUUUGUUUUCGAUUGACGAAUUGGAAAAGCUUCUUCUAUUUUUCUAGAACUUAAGGAUACAGUUUUACAACCUAUAGAACAGAUCCUGUUCAAGUAAGGUCGUCUAUUUUUCUCAUUGUUGUCUGUUAUUUUUUGAUGAAAUCGAUAUAACUUGUCAAGUAAGCUUUUCUAUAAAAGAAAUUAAGUCUUUUGCUUCAUUUAGUUUCAAUGUUACAAGUUUUGUUUCAAUUUGGUUCGUGCUAAAACUUUCAAUUUAGUCAUUCUGCCAGUUCACACAAUUUCCUUUACUAUUUUUAUGAAAAUAAGUGUACUAUCUUUAUCUUGGUCUCAUGGAUCCUCUAGAACAUUGGACUAUUCUUGCCUUUUCAUUUCAUUUUGCAGUGAAUUAUAAGGAGAUUUUUUAGGUUUAGAAUCACAUUUUUUGCUUUUUGUUACUUUUCAUUUUCAAAAUCUUUCAGUUUAGAUUGUUUGUGCGGGAGCCUAGAUGAGAUUGUUGCAUGUUUAUUAUUGAUGAAAUUGUAAUAGUUUCUUCUUUUAACGUUUCUUUUCCUGGAUUCCCACCAUUUGUAUUUGAAAAAAUAGGGGCGUACAAGUACGUGUCAGAGCUAUGGAGGAAGAAACAGUCCGAUGUGAUGAGGUUUCUACAGAGGGUGAGAUGCUGGGAAUAUCGACAACAUCCAUCAAUUGUUCGUGUCAAUCAUCCCACUCGCCCAGAUAAAGCUCGACGUCUUGGUUACAAGGCCAAGCAGGUAAGAAAAUAUGCAAAGAUUUCCUUAUCAAGUGUUUUACAUCUAAGCUUUCCUGAGUCUUUUCCCUUGGGUUAUUCGGUUAGCAUAUGUUCGAUUUUUUCCCCGGUGUAGUGUGGAUAUCAUUGGCUUCAGGCACAACAAUGAAUUCAACGUUUUUGUUGCAGGGGUAUGUGGUUUACAGGGUCCGAGUGCGACGUGGUGGUAGGAAGAGGCCUGUUCCGAAGGGUAUUGUGUAUGGAAAACCAACCAACCAGGGUGUAACCCAGUUGAAGUUCCAGCGCAGCAAGCGAUCAGUUGCAGAAGAACGGGCGGGGCGAAAGUUAGGUGGUUUGAGAGUUGUUAAUUCAUACUGGAUUAACGAGGUAAUUCUCUAUUGAGCGUAGAAGAUAUUAAAUCCUUGCAUAUCAUUUUUUGACUGUGCCUGAAAUUAUAAUAGGAUUCUACCUACAAAUACUAUGAGGUGAUUUUGGUUGAUGUUGCCCAUAAUGCGGUUCGCAAUGACCCGAGAAUCAACUGGAUCUGCAAUCCAGUCCACAAACACAGGGAGCUCAGAGGACUCACAUCAGCUGGUAAGAAGUACAGGGGUCUUCGAGGAAAAGGGCACUUGCACCACAAAGCCAGGCCUUCCCGCCGAGCAACCUGGAAGAGGAACAACACUCUCUCCCUGCGUCGAUAUCGAUGAUUUUGGUAUUACUUUUCUCUGUUUUGGUAUUUUUGCUAUGAGCAUUCUGUUCGUGGUUGGAGAAUGUAGUGGAAGUUACUUCAAUCCAAAAAGUUUUGAACUUCAUAAUUUACAUAGAGAAUUGUGAGGAUGUUUCCAAACUAAACUAAUUAGCAACUUCUGUCUUUAUUGAAAUCAAUUUGUCUUUUUUUCUCUCGAUGCAAUGUGUUUGUUCGAUAGGUUUGGAUGGUUGAAACAGUAUCUGUUAGUUUUAUUUGUUUGUUUAUGCGUUUAGGAAAACUUGUGGAGAUGUAUUUAAAACAUUUUCAUUUUCAUAGAGGAAGUACUUUGGUUUCGGAUGUCUUCAGUCCAAAAAUGUAUGACAUUUAGUUUUGUAAUUAUUUUCAAAAUUAAGCAAUAUGUUACAUAUUUUUAAACAUGUCUGGUUUAAAAAAACCAAGCAAAAACUGAAAAUGAAAUUGGCAUUAUAGAUGUAUAGAUGUUCAUUGUCUGAAUGAGGUGUAGCUUAGGGUUUAGGUUAGGUAUGUUAGUGGUUAUCUAAUGUCACAUCUUACUUGUCAAAUUGUCAUCCUAUUUGCUAAAUUUGUUCUACAAGUAGUGGUAUUUGGUAGAGUUAUGAUGUACCCAAAGUGGAGAAUGGAGAAAAUUCAAUUUUCUAAUUUUCUUUAUUGGGAUUUUUUUUUAAAAAUAAUGUAAAGUUUGAAACAUAUUUCAAAAAUAUGGUAGAUGCAAAACUAUUUUCAAAAAUAGGUGUUUUGAGGUGAAGUGUACAGGGUACAUGACUUCCAUGCAGUGGACUCCACAUACUCUAUUUUUUCCUUAUUUUUAUAUUUAUACUAUACUGGGUUCCACACUUUUUAAUUUUCUCAUUAUUUAUAUACGUGGGUCCCACACACUUCACUUUUUCUCAUUAUUUAUAUAUACAUACUCACAUAUAAUAUAAUAUAUAUAUUAUACAUUCAAAUUCUAAAAAUAUCUUUCUUUAUUAAAUUAAUUUAUUUUUUUUUAUUUUUUUCUUUAUAUAUAUUUAAAUAUCACAAUCUUCAAUCUUCAAUUUUUUUUAUUAAAUUCAUUUUUCUAAUUUAAUUUAAUUCUUUCUUAAUCAAAAUUAUACAUAUAUUUUUUUCCAAUUUUCAAUUUUUUAAAAAAAAUCUCAUUUAUUAACAAAAACAUGUUAUUAAAAAUAUAUUAAACAAAUUAAAAGAGUAAUAAUAAUAAUUGAGAUAAGUUAAAAUUACUAAAAAAAAUAAUAAUAAUAACACUUGAAGCCACACACAUUGAUAAUUGAAUAAAAAGAAAUUCAUGUUUAUGGUAAAAGGAAAAAAACAAGAAUUGGUUCGAUUACAAAUUAAAUUUAAAAACUUAAUGGAUAAUUUUGAAUUGCAAAUUUAUUGUUAUUAUUAUUUUUAGAGUACGUUUCAACUUCUUUCAAUUACUAUUAUUAUUUUUAUUUGUUUAAUGUAUUUUUUAAUAACAUAUUUGGUUAAUAUAUGUGUUUUUUUAAACAGAAAAUUAGAAAAAGAUAUAUAUAAUUUUGGUUAAGAAAUAAUUAAAUUAAAUUAGAAAAGAUGAAUUAAUAAGAAAAUUUGAAGAUUGAGAUAUUAAAUAAAUAAAUUUAUAAAUAUAUAUAUAUAUAUAUAUAUAUAUAUAUAUAAAUUAUUAUUAUUACUCUUUUAAUUUGUUUAAUAUAUUUUUAAUAACAUGUUUUGUUAAUAUAUGAGAUUUUUUUUUAAAAAAAUUGAAAAUUGGAAAAAAAAUAUAUGUAUAAUUUUGAUUAAGAAAGAAUUAAAUUAAAUUAGAAAAAUGAAUUUAAUAAAAAAAAUUGAAGAUUGAAGAUUGUGAUAUUUAAAUAUAUAUAAAGAAAAAAAUAAAAAAAUAAAUUAAUUUAAUAAAGAAAGAUAUUUUUAGAAUUUGAAUGUAUAAUAUAUAUAUUAUAUUAUAUGUGAGUAUGUAUAUAUAAAUAAUGAGAAAAAGUGAAGUGUGUGGGACCCACGUAUAUAAAUAAUGAGAAAAUUAAAAAAUGUGGGGUCCAGUGUAGUAUAAAUAUAAAAAUAAGGAAAAAAUAGAGUAUGUGGGGUCCACCGCAUGGAAGUCGUGUACCCCGUACACGACUUCACCUCAAAACACCUAUUUUUGAAAAUAGUUUUGCAUCUACCCUAUUUUUGAAAUAUGUUUCAAAUUUUACAUUAUUUUAAAAAAAAAUCCUCUUUAUUGUUUAUUUAUAUAUUAUUAUUUUAAUAUUUUCUCGAUUUUCGUAUUCCAAUUGUGUCUCAUUUUCACAACAUGCUAUUAGCACGAGCUUCGGUCGUCUCUUCCAGUCGUUCUUACGUUAUGUCAAUUUUCUCCUACACGUUAUAAUUAAUAAAAAUAAAUAUUACUUUGUAUGUUUGGUAUAGAUUAAAUUUAUAUUAUUUGAUUCUAAUAGGAAAAGUUUGAUACAUUAAAAUAUCAUUAAGAAUAUGAUCAUUGAAAACAAUUAUCUUAUAUUUCGGAUAUGCUCUUGCAGUAGCAAUACCGAGAAAAAUAUUUUGAAGAAUAUUUUCUUAAUUUCUUCUCAUGCUAAAAUGAGAUAACGAGUUACUGGUUGAAAAAUAAUAAACAUCAGUCGACUAAAGAAACAAAAUUUUCCUCGAGUGAGUGUUGUAAAUUUGACAAUUGUUAUAAGAAGUAAUUAUUUUACGUGGUUGAUCUUUAUAAUCAUCCAAAUCUUAAAAGAACCACAUGAAAUGAUCAUAAAAAGAAAAAGAAAAAAACGUGAAAAUAGAUUUUGCAUAUCAAAUUGAUAAUAUAUUUGGCUGAACCUGUAAGACAAAUUUGGAUGGGGUAAAAUUUUGAAUCUUCUAAAGAUAUUGAUAUAUUUGAUUAAAAAAAUUGUUUUAUUUAUGAAUUAAUGAUUAAUGUUUUUUUCCCCUCAUUUUAAUAUAUAUUCUAAGUUUUCUUCGUAUUGUAAUUAUUUUGUUUAAUGAAGAAGUAUGAAUAAUUUUCUUGUGCUCAAUAACUUAAAAUUGAGCAAUGAAGUUAUAUCUUUGACAAACAUUGCAACGCACACAAUACUAACAAGUAAAAAAUAUUUUUUUCAGCUGAAAGCAAAAGUCAAUACAAUAUCAGAUUUGUUCUGCAAAUCUGUUGAUGGUUUUGGAAAAGCAAAUAUUGUUUUUUUCUAGAGGAACAAAAGUUGUAAUUGAUAAUACAUUGUUCUCUAGUCAAUCAAAGAGAAAUCUAUUGAGUUUUAAUGAUAUAUGUUGCAAUGGUUAUAAUAUUGACACUAACAGAAAGAAUGAGAUAGAAUAUCUUAAUAUUAUACCUACUGUCUCAAAUGAAAUAUGUAUAUUAGAAAAGUUGUCUGCUUUAUCUUCUGGAUUAUAUUAUACUCAUAUAAGACUAAUUAAAACAUAUUCAACAAUGAACUUAAAAUUCAUGAAUCCAGACAUAUUUGCAAUUUGACACAAUCAAUUGGGUCAUCUAGGAUCCAUAAUGAUGAGAAGAAUUAUUAAAAAUCCACAUGGACAUCCAUUGAAGAACCUACUGAAUUAUCAUGUGAUGCUUGCUUUCAAGGAAAAUUAAUAAUUAGAUCAUCACCAACUAUAUAAAGUGGGAAUCGAAUCAUCUACAUUUUUUGAAUGAAUUCAUGCUUAUAUUUGUGGAUCGAUUAAACCACCAAGUGAACAAUUUAAGUAUUGUGAUGGUCUUAAUAGACACAUCCAACAGAUGGUCGCAUAUGUGUUUAUUAUCAAGUCGAAAUCUUGCAUUUGCAAAAUUAUUUGCUUAAAUAUUUGAGUUAAGAGCACAAUUUUUUCAUUAUACAAUUAAGAAUAUUCAACUUAAUAAUGCACGAAUUUACAUCCCAAGCAUUUGAUAAUUAUUGUGUGUCUAUUGGAAUCAACGUCGAAUAUCCUGUAGCUCAUGUUCAUACACAAAAUGGUUUAAUAGAAUCAUUUAUAAAACGUUUGCAAUUAAUUGCUAGACUAUUACUUAUUAGAGCAAAACUUUCUACAUUUGUAUGAAGACGUGUUAUUUUGCAUGUUGCAUCACUUGUGCGUAUUAAGCCAACAACUUAUCACAAAUACUCGCCAUUACAAUCAGUAUAUAGUUAUGAGCCAAAUAUUUCUCAUUUGAGAAGUUUUGGAGGUGCAAUAUAUGUUUCAAUUGCUUAACCACAACAUACUAAGAUGAGUCCUCUAAGGAGGCUAGAAAUAUAGGUUGGUUUUGAUUCCUCAUCAAUUAUUAAAUAUAUUGAAUCCCUGACAAAUGGCCUGUUUACUGCACGAUUUGUUGAUUAUCAUUUUAAUGAGAGAAAAUUUUCCAAUAGGAGGAUGAAUUAAGAACUUGGAAAAAGAAAUUACAUAGAAUAUAUCAUUAUUGUCUCAUUUAGAUCAUCGUACAGAUCAAUGUGAACUUGAAGUUAAAAAAUAAUUAAUUUGCAAAAUAUUGCAAAUCAGUCACUAAAAGAAUUUUCGUCUUUGCUAAUGCAGAAGAACGUGGGCAAAGCUUCUGUCGACGUAUCUUUUUGCGUGGACGCGUUGCAUGACCGAAAUACAGUUGUCUUUUCCUUUACCCACAUUUUUUAUGUGGCGUCGGCAGAAAUGGUCAUGCAAAUUAAAAUCAUGGGAAAAAAAGAUAUUUCUAGCCAUGAAAAAAACAUGGCAGAAAGGUAUUUUUGUCCACGAUCAUCAUCGCGUUGGCAAAAAUAUAUUUUAUGGCCACGAAAAAAACAUCGGUCGUAGAAAGGUAUUUUUACCCACGAUCAUCAUCACGUCGAAAAAAAAUGAACUUUAUGGCCACGUUUGUUUCGUGGGUAGAAACUGUUCUUGCCAACGAAAAGAUUUUUGUCAACAAAAACAAAAUUUCUCCCAACACUAAAUUUGUCGGUAAAUAAUAUUUGUUUCUUUUUCUUCGACGCACCGAACGUUGCUAAAGCUUUCUAAUUGCCAACAUAUUUCUAGCCACACACAAAGAAUGUGUGGCAAAAACGAUUUUAAUUUUUUUCACAUUUAUUAUUAAUAUUGUAUGUUUCUAAAUUAAAUUCAAAUAUAGAAUGAAUUUUCUAUCUACAGCAAAAUACAAUGAACACUGUAAUGAAAAAUUAAAAAUAAAAAUAUUUUCAACCAUUAAUAUUUUGUCAAAAUAUGACAAAUCAUAAUUCAAUAAUUUGUCAAAAUAUGACCAACAAUAAUUCUACAGUGUGUCAAGGUUCAUGAGUUAAAAUAAAUUUCACUUUGGAUUACCAAAAUGGCAAAAAAAAUCUUAAAUAAACAAAAAAAAAAAGGUUAACUCAGUCUAUAAAGUCUUCAAAAAGAUAGUCAUUCCCUUCUCUUUCAAACUAUAUAAAUCUGAAAAAGGUAUAUUAAAAUGAAUAAGUUCUAAGUGCAACUUUGAAAUUAAAGUCUAACAAAAAAUGUGCGAAGUGUCUUAACUCUCAAAGUCGACCUACAAAACAAGUUUCAAAUACCUAAGUUUACUAGGAUUUUUUUUCUAGUAAGAUUUUAACGAGACAUAUUUCAUAUAUGUAAUGGAUAUAUAGAUGUCUAUUAUCUCAUCAUGCCAUGUGUCUUAUGAGUGUAGAUACUUAGUGUACACCAUGUAUCAAACAAAUAUGCUAUCUUAGUGGCCAUCUAAUGUCACAUCCUACUUGUCAAAUUGCCUAUAAAUUGUGGCAUUUGGUGGAGUUGUAAGUUGUACCCACAUGUUGGAGAGAAUUCCGUUGAAAGAGGGAGAAAGUGGAGAAAAUAAAUUUUCUAUUUUUCGUAAUUUUGUUAAUUUCUUAAUUUAUUUAUGUAUUAUAUUUUAAUAUUUUCUCAAUUUUCAUAUUCCGGUUGUGCCAUGUUUUCACAACGUAUACUUCGUAUUUUAAUUUUAAUUUCAUUUAUAUGUAGAUCUAUAUAUUCUAUAUAUUUGGUCAUAUAUAUAUAUAUAUAUAUAUAUAUUUGAUAUUGAAUUGUAAAUUUCACAAACUUUGUCACAUACAAAUGUAUGUGAUUUAUGCUAUUCAUAUUUUUAAAAUUUUAUUUUAUAAGAAACAUGUAUAUUCAUAUAACAAAAGAGAACAACUUAAGGACAAAGGAUAAGAGAGCCCAAAAAUGAUGACCUUCCAAUUGUUGAAUAUCAUAGAAAGACUAUAAUUACAAAAGUAUUUGGUGUAAUUGGUAAUCCACCAAGAAGUUGUGUGUUGCAACAUAGUCUAAAAGAAUCAAAAUAAUUUUAGCUAUCUUAAAAAAAUUAUACUAUUCAUUUCUUUCCAAAUGCACCACGAAAAGGACUGAGUAGCACAUCUCCAUAAGAUGUUUCCUUUCGAACUAUAACCUCUAAUGUUGAACACUUCAAUCAACCAACUAUCAACCUUGCUAGGAAGACAAAACUUCAAAUAAAAAAUUCUAAACAAAGUGUUCCAAGCUUUUUUAGUAAAGAGACGGUACAAAGAUAAGUGGUCUAGAGUCUCUUAUUCUUUGAAUCAAAGGAACAACAAUGGAUGUGGAUCUCUUAGUUAAAUUGUGAAAAAUAUACUUCUUAGUAAAGCUGCCAUUAACAUUAGGAGUUCAUUUAAAAUUGUCGCCACCAUUUGAGGAGGUCUAAGAAUUAAGAAUUUUUAGAAUUGAGGCCACAUUGUCAAGCUCGUUAUCGAACAUAUUUCUUCUAAGGUCCAAGUUCCAUGAAUGAGUAACAAUACACCAAUAAACAUCCUUAUUCAAAGACAAUGAUAACAAAUCAGAAAAUUUCUCUGCAAAUGGCUCCACACCACACCAAUUGUCCUUCCAAUAUGAUCUUGGUUCCUUUUCCCAACACAAAAGCUGAGAAUUUAAAGGUCUCUUUGUGCUUCAAAAUAUUAGCUCAUAAUUUGUAAGACUUUCCUAUGUUCAGAUUUUUAGUAGACCACACAUUCUUCUCUAAGUCGUAAAUGACCACAAUUAAGUGCCUCCAAAAUGAUUGUUUGAUCCAUGUACCUUUGACUUGAUUACGAUUUAGUCUCUGCUAUAAAAGUUAUCGUUGAUAUUUAACAAAAUUUGAGGUGGAUGUUAUCUAGAUCCAUGUCUACAACUUUUUGCCUUGGUUUAGGUGUUGGUUCAAAAUUGAACCAUUCAAAUCAAGAAAAUAAAACAACAAAUUAGGAUAAAUCAAGAGAUAAGUUUCGGGGGUUGUUUGGCCAAUGAGUUUUGACACUUGGAAUAAAAUUUCAUGGGAUUAAGAAACUAAACCCAUGUUUGGGCACUUGGAAUAAACUUUUGAGGAUUAAAAAACUAAACAUAUAAGUUUGGAAUAUGUUAUUAUUUUAAAUUUUAUUGAAUGUCAUAUGUUUUAGAAAAUUUUUCACUUCAACCUCUUAUCAAUGAUCAUUGAUGACAUUUGACAACAUAGGUUAGCCAACUUCAUGAUCAACCAUGAAGCCUGAUCAUGAUUGAUCAACGGUCACGACCACUUGUCGCCUUAACCAUAGGCUCUGGAUCAUCUUGAUUGUCUAGACUAUUGAUCAUCGAUUGUCGGUGACUAAUCAUCUUGAUUGUUGGUGACCUACAAUUUUAGACGUUACUGUCAUCAUCAAGUGCACAUCUUGAUUGACGACGAUCAAUUGUUAUCGUUAAUUAUCAAUGUUGUGCCUAUUAACAAAUGAUCGUAGUGAUGGUAAUGCCAAUAGCCAUGACCCUUGGCGAUCAAUUGUCAUGAUGGUUGGCGACCAACCAAUCGUCUUAAACACAUUGGCGACCGUUGACCGUCUUCACCAAGACUUUCUACACCAUUUCCCAUGGCUUUGAAUAGUAAACACUAUUCAAGCCCAUUAAUUACUUUUUUAAAAAAAAAAUUAUUCUUUUUCUAAUUCAAUCUAGAAAUUUUGUGGGCCAACUUUAAAUACAACCCCUGCCGACCAUUGCGUGUCAUUUCUGACAACUUCGCUGGCGAACUUCCGCCUACCAACUUUGACAGCCACCAAAAACCUUGAAAAAUUCAUAAAAAUAAAAAAUUAUGAAUCAUUCCAAAUACGCAUUUGAUUUAUUCACAGUAACAUUUUUUCAAAUACACAUUUUUUUCAUUUUCUAUUUUCUUUUCCUCAAAAGUUUUUUUUAAUAAUAAUAAUUAUUAGACCACCCUCUUAAUUAUAUCUUUUUAUAUUCUUUGUUUAAAAUUAAUUUUUCUUUCAUUUUAUGAUAUUUUUCCUCGGUGAAAAUUGGUGAACUAUCUAUUGUGAUCUCAAUUAUAAAUCAAACAUUAAUACAUUGAUAAUAUAGUAUAAAUUAUAAAUAUAUAUCACAUAUACCAUGGUUUAUUGUUAGUUUAAUAACAUUUUUCAUUUUUUUCGUUAGCCAGUUUACUAAGACUUGUAUGGAUUGACUUAAGAAAAAACUAUGUUUUUAAAACUCAUUUUUAUUUAAUUUUUUUAAAUAAAAGUAGUUUAAAAUACAUUGUGGGUGUAUCUUAAGAAGACAACCAUAACCCUGACUAAUUGUAGCUCUAUUUGACUUUCGCUUUUGCAUAACCCUUUUGUUUAUGUCUAUUUUAAAACUUUUUGAACCCUUUUUAACGUUGCUUAACUGAAACUUUCACAAAACUCAUUCAAAUUCCCGACUUACUAUAUUUUGUGAAUGGUUUGUAACAUUUUUUAUUAGACCAUUGAUAUUAAUACUAUUUUAAUAAAAAUUAUUGUUAUUGAAUAUUAAAAUUUCUCAUUUUUACAUUGUUGUCAUGAAAAUCAAUAGAGUCAAUAAAUUAAAUUAGAGAUACAAAAUAUGAAGAAAAAACAAUAAAAAAAUUAAAUACAUGAUAAAUUUAAGACGUACAAUUUUAAAAAAACAAAUGAGUUAAACUCACAAAAUCAAAACUAAUACCUAACACUAACAUAUGUAAUCUCCAUGCAUUAGAACUCUAUCAAAUAAGUCAAUAGACAUUCAAUUUCCAGGCAUUUUAUUCAAAACCUACGUGUCAAACGCUCGUUAGAAUAUAAACGCAUGGUUUUUCGCGAGAUGGUUUUCAACUUUUUGGUCAUAUAGGUUUAAGUUAACUGUAAGUUUGAAUUUGGAAGAGAUAAGUUUCAGUUUUUUAGCUUGUUUAAUGAUUAUAAGAAAAUUUAGUAUAUGCUUUAAAAAGAAGUGGAUCUAUGAAUAUUUUUUUGUGGUUUUUGUUUAGUACGCAAUUAAACUCGUCCCAUUUUUAUGGGUAGUAGCUAGCCAAAGUAGCUAAAUCCAUUAUUCCAAUUUUGGGGAUGAAAAGUGAAAAUUAUAGACUAUGAAAAGUGAAAAUUAUAGACUAACAUACCAUUGUUUGAUCACAGUAAGUUUCUUCUAAUUUCAAUCCACUAACCCUAACCCCAAUAAUGGUUAGGUUAGGAUUGAAAUCCGAACGAAUCAAGAAUCGAUGUCAUUGGUGUAGAGAUAUAUGAAUAUGAAAUGAAUUAAGAUUGAAAUCAUAAUGAGAACUAACAUCUAUCAAUGUAAAGAUAUAUAAAUAUGAAAUAGGAACCGAUACAAAAUUGUUUGUGUAUUGUCCAAUCUGACAUCCCUCGAUACAAAAUUGUUUAUUAAUUUAUGUACAUGGAAGUUUGGAACCCAGAUGACAACUACCUCAAAUUCAUGUUAAUCUUAAUAUCAACUUUUAAAUCAUAAUCAAUUUUAAAAUACAUGAACCAAAUUAUUUUUAAAAUUAUAGGAACCGAAUCGAUAUUGAAUGAAUGUAGUAAAUUUUAACGUUGAAUAAAAUAUAAUAAUUACAUUUUUAAAAGUAGUAAAAUAUUAAAACUAUUUAAUAUACUAAAAUUGAUCCAUAAUAUUUAAUACAGUAAAAUUGAUCCAAUUUUUUAAAAAGUAAUUUUCUUUGCUAUAUAUAAAAAUUCCCCAUAAAUGAACCUAAUUAAGAAAAGGUAAAAAUGAUAAAUACAUAAAUAUUUAAUUAUUUCUAUAGGAAAACAUAAUUAUUCAAAAUUAAUAGUUAAUUCAUUAAUUAUUUCUUCCUCAAACCCUACGCACAAAAACUCCUUCCCGUUAGUUUUGCGUCUUUAGCCCCUUGGCCUACGCUCCAAGCACCUGUUGCCGCCAGCAACGCAUCGCGCCACCGACUGGCUCUGCCUCUGUUCGAUCCUGGGCCAUCCAAGCGUAUCCGGAAAGUUGCCCGAAACUUCACUCUCCAUCUCUCUCUACGAUCCGUUCCAUCACAGCCGCGCGUCGCCAAUCUCCAUCCAGCCAUCGCCACCACUACCAUUCGCCGGAUUCCGCGUUCGCCUGCCGUCGUCCACGUUCGUUGCCUCUAUCGCCGGGUUCUUUGGUUUUGGUAGGUUAGUUCCUUUUGAAAUGGAGUUUUUGAGUUUUCUUGAGGUUUUUGGAAUACCUAUUUAGUUUUGACAUGAAAUUUAUACCACCCACAGUGUCUUAGUCUGUUUUCCAGCAGACUCAGAAGUUGUUUCAAAGGAAUUUUAGUAAGUGUUAAGGUUUUGAAACCCUUUUUGGUUGAUUAUUAUUGCUGGAAAUUUGUUCUAUAAUCCUUAAUUAAGACUUAUGCAUAGGUUGGAGUCUUUUUGUGUAGUAAUAAAUUGGAUUUGGAUUAAGCUCCGAUUUUAGGUAUGUCAUUUCGAGACUCUUUGGAAUGAAGUUGUGUUUGGACUUAGACCCUAAGUGGUUAAAUUUUAAAUCUAGUCCAUGCUCUAGCCUAAAACAGAGUUUGUUUUGCUUGAAUUGAAUGUUCGGGCUUACCCUCAAGAUAAGUAGUACUGGAAACACCUUGCGCCAGACAAGUUAAGUUUAAAAUGUUAAUUUUGGCUUUGGCAAACAUUUUUUAGAAAAUUCCAUGUUAUGCUUUCUUCAUGAUUGAAGAGAUUUUAUAAGCAUGUUAUAGAUUUAUAUGAGCUAUUAUGACACGAUCUUACGAUAUAGGACACAUUUAUUGUAUGUUUCAUGCUAGUUCAGUUUAUUGACAAUUGCCCUCCUACCCGUAGCUAUGUACACCUCAGAUUCAGUUUGUGUGCGCCUUUGGGUCGACCAGUUAUGUGUGCCUUUGGGUCCAGUAGAUUUAGAUUAUGUUCCGUUGGAUUCACUAGUUUGUGUUUCUACAGGUUCAUCAAUUACCACGUACAUCUCACCUACAAUAUGACAAUUUAAAUUGUUCACUUAGAUAACAGUCCAGCUCAACUUUAAUACCUCAGAUUAGGUCCCACCAUUCAGAAAAUACAGUUCAUGUUUGUGCUUGCAUACCAUGACCCCGAUAGUGAAAUAGUGAAGUUACUUAUUGAGUAUUUUAAAUACUCAACCUUUUCUCUCAAAUGGGACUGGCAGAGCUGCAGAGUGAGUGCACGUCCUAGAGGUGUUAGAGACAUGAUCGAGUAUUACCUUCUCAACCCAUUUGUGGAAGAGAAAGCCAGGUUUCUUUGGAAUGCCCGUACAUGUGCGAUAUUAUGGAGCUUGUGGAGGGAACAAAAUAAUAGAAUUUUUAGGGGUACUGAGAGGGAUUCUAGAGAUCUUUGGUUCCUCGUUCAUCAUUAUGUCUCACUUUGGGCUUCAACUUGGAAGCUUUUUGCUAACUACUCUUUGGGAUUUAUUUUUAUUAGUUGGGAUCCUUUUUUGUUAUGGGGUUUUUUCCAGGGUUGGUAUAGGCCGACCCUGUUCUUGUACUUUUUCAUUGUUCUCAAUGAAGCGUUUCUCUCUUUAAAAAAAUACUCACCUUUUCUUAAAAUGUUCAUCCUGUAAAGACAAGAACAUACUAGAUGCUUGACGAGGAGGUUUGUCGAAGGUGCCAUAUGGGACUAGAGAGUUGCUUUCGCUCAGUGUCAUUUCAUGAAAAAGUUUUAAAUUUAAAUGUUUUAAUUAAAUUAAAUUAUUUAUUUUAAUCAACGUUUUACGGAUCCCAAAACUUUUAUUUGCAAAUUAUGUUAUUUUGCGAUGGUUUACUUAUUUAUAAAAGUUUUUACUUUUUAGUUAAAUAGUCAACUAGUUUUGGUUUAAAAUCUCUUGCAUGGUUGUGAUGACCCAAUAAUAGUUCCUAGAAAGUUGGAUCAUUACCAAUAGUGGGGUUACUUACUGGGUGUUCUUAAUAUUCAUUAUUUUCCUAAAAUUACUGCUCUCAGGUCAUGGCAAGGUGGACCUAAGCAAUCAACAUGGUUUUGUUGAAGUGCGGCCGUGACUGACUUAGAGUAGUUUAACUAUUUUCGAAGCCUGAAAAGGUUGGAUUGUGGUUAUGUAAAUGGUUUUUGUCACUGAUGUUGAGGCAACCCCAGAUGUGCCCUAGGCGAGGCGUCUGGGGUCUUUCGGCCUUCCUGUAAGUCAAGGUGAGUGCCUUCAAUCAGGUGCUCAUCUUACUGGGUCUUGUGCACUUACUGGCUCCCGAUAAAUGCACAUUUGUUUUAUUUUAUAAAUUUAAUAAUAAUAACAAUAAUAGAAAGAAAAAUACUCAGAGGUACACAAAAUCUGAUCCCUAAAUACCCACAAAAGGGUCAAUGAAAUGCCAUGCAACAAACGUCAAUUUGAUUUUCAAACUCUUCUUAGACAGUCUGUGAUUUUGCAUGCUUUUCAAUCGAACUCUUCAUCUUCCUCGUUUGACUUCACGUUCAAAAACUUUUGUUCCCAACUUCUUCUUCAAUUCACGUUCUUCCUAUGUGCAAUUCACGUUCUUCCUAUGUGCUUCUACUAACAUGAUUUGGAGCUUCAGAAUUUUUUCUUCAGUAGCUUUUGUCUUCGUUUGACUGCAUAUUCAUUAUUUGAUUGAUUUGUCUCUUUCUUCUUCAUCUUCCUUCUUUUUUGACUUCUUGCCGAGUAGUUGGUUCAGAAGUGGGGUCUAAUGAAAUCUUUAACUUUUAAAUCAUUUUUCCUUUCUUUAAUCGAGUCUUCAAUUUAAAUAAUUAAAACAUAAAAUAAUAAUUAUAUUAUUAUUUAAUCUAUUGUAUUAUAAAUCUGAAACUUGUAUUAUUUUCAUUCAUACUUAAUUAUAUUAUUAUAUAAUCUUUAUUGGACGAAGAAGAGAAGAAUAGCAAAGUAGGAAUACUAGAUGAGGCCUUAAGUUGAGAUAUAGAUGAUGGCAAUAAUUAUUUAAUCUUAAUUGAACAUUAUGUUUUACGUUUGUUUAUUUUUUUGGUUCAUUGUUGUUACUUUGUGACUUAAUGGUGUUUUGUAAGUACUAGGAGUCUAGGACUGGACUAUUAUUGAAUUUUUUUUGACAUGUUUAAGUUUUUUCUAUUUGGUAUUGAUAGGGCUUUGGUAUUUGGAUAUUCCAAAUAUAGGCUCUCUAUAUAUAUAACUUAUUUUUUUAUUUAUCCAUUGCGUUUUGCUUCACUCAGACCUUGCCUUUUCGUCACCUUAGGCAUUGAUGCGAUUACAGUGCUUAUCGCCUUGAGGUGCGCCUUGUGCUUUGAAAACAUUGAUUUUUGUGUUGGGUUAUUUGUCUAUUCUAUAGAAUCUGUCUUAUUUCCAGGUUUUCCUUUGCUUUGCUUUUGUAAAGCAAAAUUUUAUUUCUUUCAAAUCUAAUAGCCUUAUAUGGUUUUUGGUUCGUUCUUUGGAAAUUGAGCUAUUCUAGUUCUUGUCUAAUGUUGGGUUGUUUCAGGUAUGUUUUGCUCACACAGCCAUGUCUCUCCGCAACCAUGUUGAUGAAAUUGACGUUGAGCAUCCUGCUGACAAGGAAGAUGGUGUGGUUGAUGAGGACAUGGAAGUUCUUCAGAGAGCCUAUAGGCUUGCUGGUGUUAAUCCUGAGGAUUAUAUUAAUCCCAGGUUGUCAUCACCUGCUGCCGGAGAUGCUGAUCCUGGUUCUGAUUCUGAUGAUGUUGAUGAUUUCGAACUUCUUCGAGAUAUUCAGAAUCGGUUCUCGAUUUUGGCUGAUGAGCAGCCGCAGAGUACACCAGUGUCUGCAGACGAGGAGGAAGAUGAAUUUGAGAUGCUUCGUUCAAUACAGCGGCGCUUUGCAGCGUAUGAAAGUGGUAAGUUAUUCGUAAUUGUAAAUAUUGAUCUAUAACUGUCUUGUUUUAUUGGCUUAUAUGACUUGUUCUUGAAGUUCCUUGCUUGUGAUAUUAAUCACUCAUUCCGAGCUGCCCACUUUAUAUGGCAUUUUCCAGUGGCUUUGGGUUACUCGGGAAGAAUUGUACGUUCCUUCCCCAAUCUAGGUUUAGUUCAUGUUUCUUCACUGCAAGUCUUCUGACUUGUUGAUUGAUGUUUCAUAUUACUUUCUUGUGAUCUGAUUACAGAUAUUUUCUCUAAUAUUCUUUUACAAUUCUUGUUUUAUCUCUAUUUCUUGCAAGUUUUCUUUUGGUAAAAGUAAAAUUUCAUUGACAAAUGAAAUCAAGGUAGAACCCCAAACACCAAAAGAUCUUGUAUUUUUCGUUUUUUAGUUUACUAGAGGUUACUAUUAUUUACUCUUUUGAUUGAAUGGGUGAAAUUAGUUCAAAAUUACUUCGGUUAGUCAUACGUCUUGCGCGAAUUGUGGCAUUUACGUGGUAGCUUCCUAAGCACCUUCACUCCUAAGAUGGCCAAGUGCUAGUGUCAGACACGUUUCGGAUACCAACAUGCCCCAGACACAUCUCCGACAUGCUAACUGGCAUGUCAAUUGUUUUAUUAUUAUUUUCUUAAUUUCCGACACGGCCUUGACAUGCCAAUGACAUAGGUGACACACAACUGAAAAAAGAUAAUUAAAGCUGAUUAGAAAAAGCCCAAAUAAGCACGACCCACCAUAUUAGGCCCUUUUUUCUUAAUUCUAUUUUUUGUUUUGAACCCUUCAACAUUUUGCUCCAUUUCUCCACCUUUUUCAUGCUCUCCUUUUUCUUGCGGCCCAAACUCUGCCGCCCUAUUCUGCUUUCUGGUUGUUGGCCCACCCUCUUGCCACUGGCGAGAACAUCCAUCGGCAGUGACUCCCUUGAGCUCCCCAAAGUUGUCGUGCUCCUUGCUGGUUUUUUACUCUCCUUCAUUUUUAUUUUAUAUUAAUUUUUAUUUUUCAUGCUGUGUUGAGUCCAAAACUCAUUUUUUUCGACAAAAUAUUUUUUGGCUGACCACUGGUUUUUUCUACCCUUUUAUUUAUUUUUUUUAGUCCACAACUCAUUUUUUCUUUCAACAAAAUAUUUGUGAGCCUCACCUCCUAGGCGAGGCACUAGGCCUACCUCUUGAGUCUAGGUGCACGCUCGAGAGGGUUUUUAAAAUACUGAUAACAACAUACAAACAAAAAGAGACAUUAAGGGUGUGCUUGACCCAAGAAGUUGAGAAGUAGGAGUUGUUCACCCCAGUCCUUGUUUGGCCCAAAGAGUUUGUGGGCCCACCACAAAAAAAUAUCAAUUUUAUACCUUAUCAACUCCUUACAUUGUGGACCUUAGAGUUCACAACUCUCCAGAGUCACAACUCCUUAGAACUGACUAUUCUAUCCCUUGCCCCAAACAUUCCCUAAGUUCUAGUUACAUUUCUUCCCAAAAUCCUAGGGGGUGUUUGGGGUAUUGAGUUGAGUUAUGAAAUUUGGAAUUCAUAUGUUGAAGAUAGGAAGUUUAUGUUGGAGUGAAGAGUUGUAAAAUGAAGUUUCUUGAUAAACGUGAAAAAUAGAGAAAGAGAGGAAGAUGGAGUUCCUCAAUAAAUGUGCUAACUUUCAAUAGUAUUUAUUUUUAAUAUUUGGUUGUUUAACAUUGUCUUAUGAAAGUCUUAUUUUUUUUUGGGAUAAGAAUUAAUAUUGGCAUGUUUAAUAUUACCUUAUGAACAUAAGUUAGUGGACCAAACACCUCCUUGCUUUGCCUUUCAAUUUCCAAGCGUUUAGACCUUCAAAGUGCCAAUCUUCUCUCGUCCAAGGAAGACAAGUCACAGUCCCCAACUUCUAAAAGAAAAAUUACAAUCUAUAGCUACAGGUGGUCAAUGUCUUCCACCACUCCCAAACACAAUCUAUAGCUAGAUGGAGUGAAGGCUCAAGAUCUAAAACUUUCUUUGGAGCUUAUCAUUUGUCAUAAAGGCUUCUCAAAGCCAUUGACUAGGGAGGAUUUUUAUUUUCUUCAGGCAUUUGUUUCUCCAAACCAACUUAAUUUGGUGGAUUUAAGCCUUGCUAGGGAUGUUGGAAAGACUUGAGAAAAUCAAACUUGUUGAAUAAUUUCCAUAUCCAUGGAGGGAUCACAAAUCACAUAUAGAUCUGGAAAGCAAGAUUGUGUGGAGGCUCAAUCAAUCCAUGUCUUCCCAAAAAUGUAUUUGAUUAGUACCCAUGCCAACUUGCACUUUAGCAAACCAAAGAAAGAAAGAAAGAUUGUUGUCAAUGUCCACCUGUGGUCUGUUUUUUUUCUCUUCUUAAUCACUCCGUAGCCAUAUGCAUGAUGGGAUUUUCGUUCUCCUUAGGAGGUCUUGUGAAAGAAACUUUAGAAUCUUCCAUGAUAAAGAAACUAACAACGAUUUUUCUAAUUGGUUGCCCUUUUUGUUUCUACUUGGUUCUAUACCUCUAAAUUUUUUCGUAAUUAUGGCCUAACCCGAAUUUAUAUUAGUUGGGCUCUUAUUUGUAAGCUGUUAUGUGGGAUACCUUAUUUCCCCCUCUUUGUGUGUCUUUUCUCUUUGACAAUGAAGGUUAUGUUACGAAAAAAAAGAAAAAAAAUCUCCAUGGUCAUGUCCGUUGGAGUUCACUCCAUAAAUACUAGAUAUAACAUUCUUCAAAAGGGGUUUCUGUUCUUGUGUGAGCCUCC
rnacentral:lncRNA from 1 species